GAGUUUGAUCAUGGCUCAGAUUGAACGCUGGCGGCAGGCCUAACACAUGCAAGUCGAGCGGUAGCACAGAGAGCUUGCUCUCGGGUGACGAGCGGCGGACGGGUGAGUAAUGUCUGGGAAACUGCCUGAUGGAGGGGGAUAACUACUGGAAACGGUAGCUAAUACCGCAUAAUGUCGCAAGACCAAAGAGGGGGACCUUCGGGCCUCUUGCCAUCAGAUGUGCCCAGAUGGGAUUAGCUAGUAGGUGGGGUAACGGCUCACCUAGGCGACGAUCCCUAGCUGGUCUGAGAGGAUGACCAGCCACACUGGAACUGAGACACGGUCCAGACUCCUACGGGAGGCAGCAGUGGGGAAUAUUGCACAAUGGGCGCAAGCCUGAUGCAGCCAUGCCGCGUGUAUGAAGAAGGCCUUCGGGUUGUAAAGUACUUUCAGCGGGGAGGAAGGCGAUAAGGUUAAUAACCUUGUCGAUUGACGUUACCCGCAGAAGAAGCACCGGCUAACUCCGUGCCAGCAGCCGCGGUAAUACGGAGGGUGCAAGCGUUAAUCGGAAUUACUGGGCGUAAAGCGCACGCAGGCGGUCUGUCAAGUCGGAUGUGAAAUCCCCGGGCUCAACCUGGGAACUGCAUUCGAAACUGGCAGGCUAGAGUCUUGUAGAGGGGGGUAGAAUUCCAGGUGUAGCGGUGAAAUGCGUAGAGAUCUGGAGGAAUACCGGUGGCGAAGGCGGCCCCCUGGACAAAGACUGACGCUCAGGUGCGAAAGCGUGGGGAGCAAACAGGAUUAGAUACCCUGGUAGUCCACGCCGUAAACGAUGUCGACUUGGAGGUUGUGCCCUUGAGGCGUGGCUUCCGGAGCUAACGCGUUAAGUCGACCGCCUGGGGAGUACGGCCGCAAGGUUAAAACUCAAAUGAAUUGACGGGGGCCCGCACAAGCGGUGGAGCAUGUGGUUUAAUUCGAUGCAACGCGAAGAACCUUACCUACUCUUGACAUCCAGAGAACUUUCCAGAGAUGGAUUGGUGCCUUCGGGAACUCUGAGACAGGUGCUGCAUGGCUGUCGUCAGCUCGUGUUGUGAAAUGUUGGGUUAAGUCCCGCAACGAGCGCAACCCUUAUCCUUUGUUGCCAGCGGUCCGGCCGGGAACUCAAAGGAGACUGCCAGUGAUAAACUGGAGGAAGGUGGGGAUGACGUCAAGUCAUCAUGGCCCUUACGAGUAGGGCUACACACGUGCUACAAUGGCGCAUACAAAGAGAAGCGACCUCGCGAGAGCAAGCGGACCUCAUAAAGUGCGUCGUAGUCCGGAUUGGAGUCUGCAACUCGACUCCAUGAAGUCGGAAUCGCUAGUAAUCGUAGAUCAGAAUGCUACGGUGAAUACGU
rnacentral:rRNA from 1 species